GACGAACGCUGGCGGCGUGCCUAAUACAUGCAAGUCGAACGAGAGCGACCGGUGCUUGCACUGGUCAAUCUAGUGGCGAACGGGUGAGUAACACGUGGGUAACCUGCCCAUCAGAGGGGGAUAACAUUCGGAAACGGAUGCUAAAACCGCAUAGGUCUUCGAACCGCAUGGUUUGAAGAGGAAAAGAGGCGCAAGCUUCUGCUGAUGGAUGGACCCGCGGUGCAUUAGCUAGUUGGUGAGGUAACGGCUCACCAAGGCCGUGAUGCAUAGCCGACCUGAGAGGGUGAUCGGCCACAUUGGGACUGAGACACGGCCCAAACUCCUACGGGAGGCAGCAGGAGGGAAUCUUCCGCAAUGGACGCAAGUCUGACGGAGCAACGCCGCGGGAGUGAAGAAGGUUUUCGGAUCGUAAAACUCUGUUGUUAGAGAAGAAUAAGUGCUAGAGUAACUGUUAGCGCCUUGACGGUAUCUAACCAGAAAGCCACGGCUAACUACGU
rnacentral:rRNA from 1 species